rnacentral:rRNA from 1 species
GACGAACGCUGGCGGCGUGCUUAACACAUGCAAGUCGUACGGUAAGGCCCUUUCGGGGGUACACGAGUGGCGAACGGGUGAGUAACACGUGAGUAACCUGCCCACAACUUUGGGAUAACGCUAGGAAACUGGUGCUAAUACUGGAUAUGUGCUCCUGCUGCAUGGUGGGGGUUGGAAAGCUCCGGCGGUUGUGGAUGGACUCGCGGCCUAUCAGCUUGUUGGUGGGGUAGUGGCCUACCAAGGCGGCGACGGGUAGCCGGCCUGGGAGGGUGACCGGCCACAUUGGGACUGAGAUACGGCCCAGACUCCUACGGGAGGCAGCAGGGGGGAAUAUUGCACAAUGGGCGCAAGCCUGGUGCAGCAACGCCGCGGGCGGGAUGACGGCCUUCGGGUUGUAAACCGCUUUCAGCAGGGACGAAGCUUUUUGUGACGGUACCUGCAGAAGAAGCACCGGCUAACUACGUG